CGGCACGGACUUAAAUCCGUUGGCUUUAAUAGACCUUGAGGGUUCAAGUCCCUCUACCCCCA
rnacentral:tRNA from 1 species